rnacentral:rRNA from 1 species
UACGUAGGGUCCGAGCGUUGUCCGGAAUUAUUGGGCGUAAAGAGCUCGUAGGCGGCGUGUCGCGUCUGCUGUGAAAGACCGGGGCUUAACCCCGGUUCUGCAGUGGAUACGGGCAUGCUAGAGGUAGGUAGGGGAGACUGGAAUUCCUGGUGUAGCGGUGAAAUGCGCAGAUAUCAGGAGGAAUACCCGUGGCGAAGGCGGUCCACUGGGCAUCAACUGACGCUGAGGCGCGAAAGCGUGGGUAGCAAACAGG